CAGCAGCCGCGGUAAAACGUAGGUGGCAAGCGUUGUCCGGAAUUAUUGGGCGUAAAGGGCUCGCAGGCGGUUUCUUAAGUCUGAUGUGAAAGCCCCCGGCUCAACCGGGGAGGGUCAUUGGAAACUGGGAAACUUGAGUGCAGAAGAGGAGAGUGGAAUUCCACGUGUAGCGGUGAAAUGCGUAGAGAUGUGGAGGAACACCAGUGGCGAAGGCGACUCUCUGGUCUGUAACUGACGCUGAGGAGCGAAAGCGUGGGGAGCAAACAGGAUUAGAUACCCCCGUAGUCCCUGUCUCUUAUAA
rnacentral:rRNA from 1 species